UACGGAGGGUGCAAGCGUUAAUCGGAAUUACUGGGCGUAAAGCGCACGCAGGCGGUCUGUUAAGUCAGAUGUGAAAUCCCCGGGCUCAACCUGGGAACUGCAUUUGAUACUGGCAAGCUAGAGUCUCGUAGAGGGGUGUGGAAUUCCAGGUGUAGCGGUGAAAUGCGUAGAGAUCCGGAAGAAUACCGGUGGCGAAGGCGACACCCUGGACGAAUACUGACGCUCAGGUGCGAAAGCGUGGGGAGCAAACAGG
rnacentral:rRNA from 1 species